rnacentral:lncRNA from 1 species
UGUCAUCCGGAAAGACAUCCUCAAAUUCCUGCAAAAGAACUUUAACAACACUAGGAAUACAAGAAUCUAAAUCAUCUGAGUUAAAGAAUGCCUCCUUAUACACAAAUAAAAUCAUAGGCAAGUCAGAAAGAUAGGCAUGUUUAAGAUCAUUAGAUUUUGCAAAAAAGUUAAGGUGUUUCCCCACUUUUUCUACAAACUCUUCUUUUCUCACCCUUUCUUUCUUCUUUCCACUCUCGGCCUUCUUUUUACUUUUUUGUUCUUGGUUGUGACCCUCCCCUAAUGUCCUAAGGGCCGAAACUUUGUUCCCUUUUGUUUUCAACUCAUGGCUCACUUUUUUUUCUCUCUUCCUCACAUCCUCACCAUGUUGUUCAGCUUGUUUUUCCAUUUUGGCUGAAUCUUUUUGUUCCUCCACUUUGGCCGAAACAUGUUGCUCUUCCUCAUAGCCUGUCUUCAAUUGAAUUUGAUCUUCAUACACUUGCUUUGGUGAGAGUGGGGCAAGUGUAUAAAUCCUUACAUCUUUCUCUAAUGAAUACAUGUUCUUAAACCCAUCGUGCUUGGCUUUUCUAUCAAAUUGUUAGGGCCUCCCUAGUAACAGAUGAGUAGCAUUACAUAGGCACAACAUCACAUAACACUUCAUCCUUAUAUUUGCCUACUGAAAAAGAAAUCAUCACCUGUCUAUUCACCCUAACAACACCACAUGCAUUCAACCAUUGAAGUUGAUAAGGCCUCUCAUGCUUUAUGGUAUUCAAUCCCAACUUUCUAACCAACGUAACACUAGCAACAUUAGUACAACUACCACUAUCAAUGAUCAUACUACAUACCUUAUUGUUGAUUAGGCAUCUAGUAUGGAAGAUGUUCUCCCUUUGUUGCUCCACAUCAUCCUCCUUGGUCUGAACACUAAGUGACCUUCUAAUCACCAAAACUUUAUCACCAACAGCAUACUCUAGUGAAAUGAUUAUGUGAAAGCAUUGUCUUUAUUUGUGGCAACACCAAAACUGAGUUUGAAACCUUUGGAAAUUGAGCCUCGGGUGUUAUACCAUGAAAUCUGUGACCAAAAGCCUCGGUAUGAAUUGUAGCUUCUUGUCGAUUCAUUGUGUUGGUUGUGGAUGAAAUCUAGAUGGCAAUUUUGGAAUGCUAGAAACUAUAGGGAUGUGUUGCAAAGUGCAUGUUCUAGCAUCAUUCCCUUUAUUAGUGGGUCCUUCACCGGACAACCUAUUUUGUAAACUUUGUUCGAGUAGACUCAUGAGCCUAGCUAUCUCAUCCUUUAUCAUAUAUAUCUUUUUCUAGUGAUUUUUCUCAAUGAGAGCUCUCUUUUUAUUCUUCAUUCUUCUUUUAAGUUAGGUUUUGUAGGUACACGAAGGAAGUUCAAUUUUUCGAGUUAUGUUUCCUGUAAUGAUUAUGAUAUGUAUAAAUUUAAACAUUCAAUUCAUAAAUGAGAAAGAAAACUUAGACUGGAUACAGAUUAGCCUUUUUGUGAGGGGUGACGAGAUUUUGGAUAACAAUUAAAAGCCUGAUAACCUUUGAUAUCCUAAAGUUCCUUGAAAUAUUCUACAAUAUUUUAUAGAAGGGAAAUUUUGUCUGAACCUUGAGAUGCUUCAUUGCAAAACCAUGGUGACUCUUUUUCAUUUGAAGAUAUAGAAACAAUACAAAUUAAGAAAACCUCAUUUAUUUAUUUAUGCAAAAUACAAAGGUUCCCUACAGUUAAUCUCAACUACAACUAAUAAAUAUAACUAUUAUAUUUAAUUUAGAUUCCUAGAAGCUUUGUCAUGGCUAGUUAUGCCCUCUAAAAAACUCUGGCAUUGUCCCAAAUAAACUUUAUAUUCUCUAGGCCCAAAUCUCUGCCUUUAAUUAGCAAUGCGUCAAGCAAAAUUUAAAAGCUUUUCAGCCAUAAUUGAUGCCCUUGUUACCUAGUCUCUCAAGACCUACAGAUUUUCCAUACCAUCAUCAUUUUCCCUUAAUAAAGUAUCAUGCAGAUUCCUCUAGUGCUCUUCUUACCUCUUGAUGCAACCACAUUAUUCGAUAGUUUCACCCACAUUUAACAAAUGUUUUGCCUAUGUUAUAUCUAUAAAAUGCCUUGAAAUUCUUUGUUUUAUGUUUUGAAGGCACUUUUGGAUGAAAGAUGCAAAAAGGAGUAAAUUGGAGGUAACUGGCAGAUUUGACAUUCAGUCGAUGUUUUGUGUAGAGCGUGAGUUCUAGAGGUCGAAAUGAAGUGAUUCCAGUGGCACUAAAAAGCUAACAUCCAUACCUUUAUGGACAUCUAAGGCAAGGAAAUAAAAUAAGGAAGAGCAUGGAAAUCCUAGCUUUCAAAGUCAAAUCUCGCAAUAUGCCAGUAUUGACCUUAGACCAUUCCGACUUGAAUAUCUGGAGCCACAGAAGUCCAAUUGAUGUAAACUCAAUUUUUUUUGAUUCCUGACUAAAAUUUAUAUAAACGCUCAAAAUUUCAGCCGAAAACGAUGUCAUAUGAGGGAGAUAUGAUUUUCCAAAGAUAAUAGCUGAAUUCUGCCAGCAAACAGGUUUCGUGAAGGAACAUGUCCAAAUUACGUUUCGAAGCAUCUAAACCAGCGUCCAAGUUUUUAUUUCAGCAAUUUAGCUCCUCUAAGUCAAAGCUUGAAGAUUUAAUGCAAGGCUAUUUCUCCUUUUUAGGAAAAUAGUUAUUGAAGUACUUAAAUGUAUACUGUCAACUUAAGGGAGGACUAUUUUGUAAAAUAGAGACUAGGGUUUCUUAGCACAUAAAAAAAAAAAAAAACGAAAAAGGGCAAAAAGGAGGCAGCACCCAGAAGUGAAGAAACACAAACUCUCCUCUUUACAAACCAGAAAUAAUGCUUUCUUCUAUCUCUAAGAGUAGUUGUUCCAUAGAUAUGCAAGGCUAAGCUCGUUUUCUUGGUUGCAAGGACACAACAAACCUUCAGAUUUCAAGAACAGUGAGAAUUAUUCUUCCUUUUAUUUUCAGUUUAUAUUAUGAAUGAUUAUGAUUGUUUUCCUAUGCAUAUUUUCUAUGAUUGUUGUUGAUAAUUGCUAGAGCAGACUCUAAGUUAUUAUUGUGAACAAUCUAUUGCUAAGUUUGAUAUCAAAACCGGAGUUGUGAUAUAUGAACUUGUGAAGCAACUAAGCUUGAUAAUUGUGGCGGAACUACGUUAUUAAACUUAGGGAGAACACUCAAACAAAGGAAACACAAGCUGCAAACAGCUUGGUUGUCAAGAGAUCAAUCAAUUUAUCUAGUUCUUAGAGCUACCAUUGAACUAAAUCAUUAAUGCGAACAUUGUGAUUGUUUGUUGGUUAGGGUUAGUCAUACGACGGAUUCGUUAAUUAACGUAUAGCAUAAAAAUCUGAACUAAAUCUUCCUUGUGCAAUCGACCCCUUACUUGCUCUAUACUAUCUUGUGUAUUGUGUUUGAAGCUAGGGUAAUUAAUUUGUGCGACCGCGACAUCGCAACAAAUUUUGGCGUCGUUGCAGGGGAGGUAAUUUUAGUUGAUUCUUGUGCUUGUACUGUUAUUUUUAUUUGUUGUGAUUAUUAUUAUUAUUAUUUUGAAAAAAAAACAGAGACAGAAUUUUUGCUUACGGCGGUACUGUUCAAAACAGAUUUUUUGGUGGAAUUAGGUAUCGGCCUUUUGUUUCCUGAAGGGAAACGACGUUCUAAACAGGACUAGUGGAAAACCACUAGCCCUACCCUAUCGAGGCCAAAUUCCACUGUUUUCUAGGGUUUUUAGGCAGUUUUAGUUUUCUACCGUAGGAUUUUUGUACAAUUUGCAUUGUUUUCGAUCUCUUGUGUGGUUGGUUUCUUUUGAGUUUUCUUGAUGAUUUAUGCCAGUAACCCGUUCUACUAAUCAAAGUCAAGUGCAGUUGGAUCUCGAAAUAGAAAAAACUUUAUGCAGGUUAUGAAAGGAAGCUCGCCUCAACACCAUGACUAUUGCACGACAACAAACACUCAAGGAGCUUGCUGCUCCUAACGUGGAAAAUCAGCCAUUGUGCAUAAACAUCGAUAAUAAUGUAAACUUUGAGCUCAAAUCUCGUUUUAUACAUUUGCUACCAACAUUUAAUGGUCUUGCAGGAGAAGAUCCUCAUACUCAUCUCAAGGAGUUUCAUAUGGUUUGUGUUGGCAUGAAACCGAACGGAGUUGAUGAAGAACAAGUUAAGUUGAAAGCUUUCCCUUUCUCUUUAAAAGGGGCAGCAAAGGCAUGGCUUUUCUCCAUUCUUCCAAGUUCAAUUGGAACUUGGAAUGACAUGAAGAAGAUCUUCCUUGGGAAGUAUUUCCCAGCAUCUCGAGUUGCCAACAUAAGGAAAGAAAUAUGUGGGAUUCGACAAUCUCAUGGAGAGACACUCUCCGAAUAUUAGGAAAGAUUUGAGCAACUCUGCAUUCAAUGUCCUCAUCAUCAAAUACCCGAUCAGCUACUCAUUCAAUAUUUCUAUGAAGGAUUGAUGCCUACUGACCGUAGUAUCAUUGAUGCUGCAAGUGAAGGGGCAUUGGUAGAUAAGACACCCGAGGCUGCACGCCAAUUGUUCUCAAACAUGGCAGCCAACUCGAAACAGUUUGGCACCCGUGGAGACUUCUCAAACAAACAAGUAAAUGAGGUAAGUGUUUCUAACCUUGAAAAUAAAGUUAAUGAUCUUACUUCUCUUGUGCGUUCUUUGGCUUGUGGAAAUGUACAGCAGGUGAAAGUUUGUAGCAUAUGUUCCUUACAAGGACAUGCCUCAGAUAUGUGCCCAACAAUGCAAGAAGAUUACAUUGAACAGGCUAAUGCAGUUGAUGGAGCACUCAACGGACAGCCCCAACGUAAAUAUGAUCCAUUUUCCAACACGUACAAUCCUGGAUGGAGAGAUCAUCCCAACUUACGCUAUGGAAACCCACCUCAAUAAGGCAAUCAAGGCCGACAGUUCCAUCCCCAUGGAUUUCAAUCCCAACAGAAUUAUCAAACGAGACAACCCCCUCCGUUCACAAACUCCAAUGUCAUGGGGUCGUCAUCUAGUGAUGAUCUUCGUGAGAUGAUGAAAACUUUGGCUUCUAACACUGUGACCUUGCAACAAAAUGUCAUGUCUUUUCAACAGGAAACAAGGUCAAGUAUUCACAACUUGGAAAAGCAAAUGAGGCAAGUAGCUUCAAGUGCAGUGAAAUUGGGAGCACAAAUGAAUGGAAAAUUACCCUCCCAAGCUUUGAAUCCAAAAGAGAAUGUUAGUGCAAUAAUGCUGCGAAAUGGGAAAGAACUUGAAAGGCAAAGGUCGAAACAGAUUGAGAUGGAGGAAAAAGAAGAGAUAGAAACUGAAUUGAGUAUAAAAAAGAAACAUCCUCCUCCUUCUCAAACUAAAACAACGACCAACACUCCAAAGGUAAUUCCUCAUUCAAUGAAUUCCAGUUUUAAAACAAUUCCACCCUUUCCUGUGAGUUCUUUUAGGUCAAAGAAAGAAAACAAAGAAAAAGAGAUUUUAGAGGUUUUCAAGAAAGUGGAACUCAACAUCCCUUUGCUUGAUGCUGUCAAGCAAAUUCCCAAGUAUGCCAAAUUCUUGAAGGAGUUGUGUACUACCAAGAGAGCUUUCAAACUAAAAGGUUAUGAAACGGUAAAUAUGGGUGAAGUUGUAUCUGCUGUUGUUCAAAAGAAUAUGCCUUUGAAGCAAAAAGACCCAGGUGCGUUUACUAUCCCAUCUGUUAUUGGUAAUGCUAGUUUUAAAAGGGUCUUAUGUGAUUUAGGUGCAUCCAUUAGUGUUAUGCCUAAACAUGUUUAUGAUUUUCUUAGUCUUGAGCCUUUGAAUAAAACUAGUAUUGUAAUACAACUUGCGGAUCGUAGUUUUGUUUAUCCACUUGGUGUGAUAGAAGAUGUCCUGGUCAAGAUUGAUAGUUUGGUUAUUCCAUGUGAUUUUUAUAUUCUUGGUAUGGAACAUGAUUCUUGUGAUUCAUCAAACAACACUCCUAUAUUGUUUGGGAGACCAUUCUUGAAAACUGUCAAUACAAAGAUUGAUUGUGGUAAGGAUAAUUUGUCUAUGGAGGUAGGAGAUGAAAAAAUUGAAUUUAAUUUUCAUGAUGCAAUGAAAUAUCCUUAUAGCAAUGUUUAUUCUACACAUGGUAUGACCAAGUUGAUAAGUGUUUGCAGUAGGUUUUUGAUUUUGAUUGUGAGGAUAGAUUAAGCGUAGCUUUGAGUUAUGGCUAUGAUUUUACCGAGAUAGAAGAGAUGGAGAGGAUAUAGGUGUUCCCCAAAAUGUGCACGAAUCAAUAUUGGCUUUGCAAGCUUUGCAAACCGUUCCCCAUGGUAAUGUCUUUGUUGAUUUAGUACUUUCACAUAAAAAGCUUUUGCCAUCUAUUUUACAGGCCCCCGAGCUAGAAUUGAAACCUUUACCCGAUAAUUUGAAGUAUGUAUUCAUUAGUGACAACAAUACACUUCCUGUUAUCAUCGCAAAAGGUUUGACAAGUGCACAAGAGGAAAAACUUGUGAAGUUGUUGUGUGAUCACAAGACGGCCAUUGGAUGGACUUUAGCCGACAUCAAGGGCAUUAGUCCCUCAAUGUGUAUGCAUCACAUACUAUUGGAGGACAAUGUGAAACCAACAAGGGAAAUGCAAAUGAGGUUGAACCCGCCUAUGAUGGAGGUAGUGAAAGUUGAAAUUUUGAAACUGUUAGAUGCAGGUGUCAUUUACCCCAUCACGGAUAGUAAAUGGGUGGCACCAAUCCAUGUGGUGCCCAAGAAGACCGGAAUUACGUUGGUGAAAACAAAAAUGAUGAAUUCAUUCCUACUCGCAUCUCGAGUGGAUGGAGAAUGUGUGUUGAUUAUAGAAAGCUAAAUCUUACUACACGCAAAGAUCAUUUCCCAUUACCAUUCAUGGACCAAAUGCUUGAACGCCUGGCAGGUAAGUCUUUUUAUUGCUUUCUUAAUGGAUAUAGUGGAUACAAUCAAAUUGUUAUUAAUCCUGAAGAUCAAGAAAAGACUACAUUUACAUGUCCAUUUGGUACAUAUGCAUAUAGGAGAAUGCAUUUUGGUCUUUGUAAUGCACCCACUUUUCAAAGAUGCAUGAUGAGUAUUUUUUCUGACUAUGUUGAAAGAAUAAUUGAGGUUUUCAUGGAUGAUUUCACGGUAUAUGGUGAUUCUUUAGAUAAGUGUCUGGAAAAUUUAUCUUUGAUCUUGAAAAGGUGCAUUGAAACUAACCUUGUCUUGAACUAUGAAAAGUGUUAUUUUAUGGUAGAACAAGGAAUAGUUCUUGGGCAUGUUGUGUCUUCACGUGGAUUAGAGGUUGAUCAAGCUAAAAUAGACGUUAUUUCAUCAUUGCUUUACCCCUCCUGCGUGAGGGAACUUCGUUCUUUUCUUGGUCAUGCAGGUUUCUAUCGACGUUUUAUCAAAGAUUUCUCAAAGAUUACAGCACCCUUGUGCAAACUAUUAGCCAAAGAAGUGGAUUUUGUGGUCGAUCAAGCAUGUAAAGAUGCCAUGAUGAGCUUAAAAGGCGUGUCACAUCUGCCUCUAUAAUCCAACCACCAAACUGGGAUGAGCCUUUCGAGAUAAUGUGUGAUGCGAGUGACUAUGCAGUAGGCGUUAUGCUUGGGCAAAAAAUAGGGAAGAAUUUGCAUGUUAUCGCCUAUGCUUCCCGCAUGUUGGACGGAGCGCAAUGCAAUUACCAUACAACUGAAAAGGAACUUUUUAUAGUGGUAUUUGCUCUUGAAAAAUUCAAGUCAUAUCUACUUGGUACAAAAGUCAUUGUUUUUACUGACCAUGCAGCUUUAAGGUAUCUUUUGAAGAAAAAAGAGUCCAAACCAAGAUUGAUUAGGUGGAUCUUGCUUUUGCAAGAAUUUGAUCUUAAGAUCGAAGACAAAAAAGGUGUCGAAAACCAUGUGGCUGAUCACUUGAGCCGACUAAGGACCGAGGAUAUACAAACCGAAACAAUAAGAGAAACAUUCCCCGAUGAGCAGUUGUAUGUGCUACAUUCCUCUACAAGACCACGAUAUGCUGACUUGGUGAACUAUUUAGUCACCAAAGAAUUCCCUCUGGGUUUGUCUACAUCCCAAAAGGACAAGUUACGAGCUGAUGCUAAAUAUUAUUUUUGGGAUACUCCUUACUUAUGGAAAUUUUGUGUGGAUCAAGUAGUAAGGAGAUGUGUACCACAGAAUGAAUUUCAUUCCAUUCUCACUUUUUGUCAUUCUCAUUCUUGUGGUGGGCAUUUUGGAGCAAAAAGAACAGCCCAUAAGAUACUUGAAAGUGGUUUAUAUUGGCCUUCUAUUUUUAAAGAUGCAUAUCACUUCUACAAAUCAUGUGAGAAAUGCCAAAGAAUAGGUAAUAUCAAUCAUAAGAAUCAAAUGCCUUUAACGAAUAUUCUUGUAAGUGAAAUUUUUUAUGUUUGAGGUAUUUAUUUUAUAGGUCCAUUUCCUUCUUCUUUUGGCAAUCUUUAUAUCCUUCUUGCUGUUGAUUAUGUGUCCAAGUGGAUUGAGGCGAAAGCCACACGAACUAACGAUGCUAAGGUUGUUUUAGAUUUUUUCAUGACUCACAUAUUUGACAGGUUUGGAAUCCCUAAAUCUAUCAUUAGUGAUCGUGGCACUCAUUUUUGCAAUCGUUCAAUGGAAGCAUUGUUACGCAAAUAUCAUGUAACUCAUCGGACUUCCACAGCAUACCAUCCUCAAACGAAUGGUCAAGCUGAAAUUUCAAAUCGAGAAAUCAAGUCUAUUUUGGAGAAGACAGUGCAACUUAACCGGCGAGAUUGGAGUCUACGACUUGGUGAUGCACUUUGAGGUUAUCGGACUACUUACAAAUCACCUAUAGGAAUGUCACCUUAUAGGAUGAUUUAUGGAAAAGCAUGUCAUCUACCGGUGGAGCUUGAACACAAACUUUUUGGGCCAUUAAAAAAUAUAAUAUGGAUUAUGAUGCUGUUGGGAUUGCAAGAAAGUUACAAUUGCAAGAGUUGGAGGAGAUUCGAAAUGAUGCUUACGAGAAUGCAAGGAUUUACAAAGAAAAGACUAAAAGUCUCCAUGACCGAAUGAUUACAAGAAAAGAGUUUAAUGUUGGAGACAAAGUCCUUCUUUAUCAUUCACGUUUGAAACUUUUUCCUGGAAAGUUACGCUCUCGUUGGAUUGGACCAUUUGUUGUUUCUAAUGUUUUUCCUUAUGGUGCAGUUGAAAUUACAAGUUUAGAAACCAACAAAGUACUCAAAGUUAAUGGGCAUCGCUUGAAACCUUUCUAUGAAUGUUAGACAACAGAACUCACCGCUUCUGUGGAGUUAGUUGAACCAAUCUAUGAAGAAUGAGCAUGCAGCAUGUCGAGCCAAUGACAUAAAACAAAGCGCUUACUGGGAGGCAACCCAGCACAAAAAGAAAAAAAAACAGAUUUGGUUUCUUUUUUCCUUAUCUUUUAUUUUUCGCAUUUUACUUUAUUUUUAUCAUUCUCCUAUAUUCCUUUUCUUUUAUUUCAACAUUGAGGGCAAUGUUGUGUUUUAAGUGUCGGGGUAUUAAGAAAAUUUUGGUUUUCUUUGUUAUUUUUCAAAAAAAAAAUUAUGUUUGAUCUUUUGAACUCCCAUUGGUUUUUGAGUAUAUGAGUAUUAUGUAUGAGAAUUAAUUGAGAUAGAUGAAGAUAUAAAUCAAAUGAAUGAGUGUGCAUGUAAGUUUUAAUGUUUAAUUAGUUUAGGGAUUGACUUUGAGAAUAUGUCAUGUUGACUUUAUAGUGUUAUACCAAUGCAAGCUUUUGAUCCUUCAACAUUAUAUUCUUUGAUUGUGCAUUCCUUUUGAUUUGUAUCUCUAGAACUUGCUUCAUAUCUUGUUGAGAUUACAUUCGCAUUACAUAUAUACAUGAAGAUGAUAAAGGCAUUAGAAAUUUUAACCACUUGAGCCAAAAAGUCAACCUAAAGCAAAUUAUCCUUAGUAAACCCCUUUUGAGCUUGUUUAUCUUUUCUCCUUAACUUUAUAUAUGUUUUCCAUUAUCGCACGUGUGCGGCGUCACGGCAAAAACAUUCACCCUCAAAAUCUAAUCUUAAGUGGCAAAUGUGUGGAGACAAGGAAUUCUUGUCUUUUAUUAGUGGGAAAAUGGAAUGGGAGUCGCCACCUAGUAUUUUGGUCACUAUGAACCCUAACUGGUCUUAGAGAUCGGGUACGGGGACUGAUUGCGUAAAGGAAAGGUAUUAGCACCCCAAAUACGCCCUACCUAAGGUAAGCUGCAUUGUUUUAUUGUCUGAUAAAAUCUAAGGUCAUGUCGUGCUUUUUAUUUGUUGGUCCGUCUAUGGCUUAAGAAAAGUUCUCUUCGAUAAAGAGAUCUUUUUUUCUUAUCGGAUAAAACCUAACCGGUCUAAUGCCAACAAAGAAAAUUUAAUAUCCGGAACACGUCUUACGUAUAAGAUCAUAACCCCAGAUAUUAAAAGAAAACAAAAUAAAAUUUUUUAGAAUUUUUGAAAUAUUGGCCUAGUUCUCAUGACUUUAAUAAACUGGUUAUUAAAGCCAAAAUGCAUGCUAAUAUAUAUUUUUUGAAAUUUUCUUUGUUGUAUGAAAAUACAAUAUGAUUUUUUAUUUUUGAGAGACUUGGCGGUAUGCAUGAAAACAAAACAUUUUUUUUAUGUCCGGACAAAAACGUGGUAUUUUAAUACCGGAUUUGUAUCUUUACAGUAUAAAAAUACAAAACCAGUAUUGAUUAAAAUGCAAUAAAAAUUGGUGGAAAAUCACAGAUAUUUAAAUAAUUUCUUUGAAGAAAACAAAACAUUUUUUUUAUGUCUGGACAAAAACAUGGUAUUUUAAUACCGGAUUUGUAUCUUUACAGUAUAAAAAUACAAACCGGUAUUGAUUAAAAUGCAGUAAAAAUUGGCCGAAAAUCACAGAUAUUUAAAUAAUUUCUUUGAAUAUUUUUUUUUAUUUAUUUAUUUAUUUAUUUAUUAUUAUUAUUAUUUUGCUGGGCCCAACCCGGCCCAUAUGGCUGGGCUGGACCCCAGCCAACCUGCGUAGCUGGGCUGGAUUCAGCCAGCCCAGCAUGGUCACUGGCCCAUGCCAGUGACCAUCUUCAAAAAGGGAUUCCCUUGUUGGGACUCGAAACCGGGUCUCUUGAAUGAGAUCUGGUAAGCUGACCAUCUGGACUGCAAGGCAUAUUUUUAUCUAAUAGCACCAUAAUAUUUUUAGCCUUUUAUGAACAAGGCGAAGGUAAUUAAAUUACCUUCGCUCUGUUAACCAUCUUUGUUGCAGUGCAAGAAUGAAAAAAAGAAACAAAACAGAGCAUGUAACUGGCGAUUUCUGGCCUCGGUUUCCUUAUGUUUUCUUUCUGUAUUUUACAUACUAACAUGCAUCAUCUCAUUUUGCAGGGAAACAGAGAAGGGCAUCGAACAUACCUGAUUUUGAGAAGACGAAGACAAAGACGAUGGUGGUCCUGGAUUCUCUGCUUCACCGUGUCCUCUGUUUCUGUUCGGUUUGCUUCUUUCUCUCGUUCCUCUUCUUUCCCUUAUGCUUGCUCACUAUUUCUCUACUCUCUCACUUUUCUUACGUUCUCAUAAACUGUCUCCCUCCCUUUUUUUUUCCUUCACGGUAGCCUCUCCUCUCUCUCCUUUUCUCUCCCCUCCUCUUCCUUACACUCUCCUUCUCUGUCCCUUUUUUUUUUCUUUUUCUCUUUUCUCCUCACUGUCUCGUUCUCCCUCCAGUGUUUCUGCCCCCCUCACUGUCUCGUUCCCUCUUCUGUUUUUAUCUUUUUCGUUGUGCAGUGCUGGUGCGGUUGUGAUGGAGAAUGGCAGUGGCUGCUGGACGAAGAAGAUGAUGAGCUAACGAUGGCGUUGGCAGUGCUGGUGCGGCUCUCUCCCCUCCUUUAUUCUUUCCUCUGUCGUUCCCCUCUGGUUUUCCCUCUCCUUUCUUUUCUUUUUUUGUCCAUCGUUUUUCUCUGGCUUUUAUAAGCCAAAGAAUGGCCUGCGGUGCAACGUCCAACUUGGUAACGGCAUGUAGAGGAAUAGUAGCCGUGAAACAUUCCCCAUAACUGAAGCAAUCUGCUGUUUUUGUUGCUGAAAUGGCUCCAUUGAUAACGCUCAUUCACUGUCGAAACCGUUGCGGAUGAAAAAGGUGAUCAACAGUUGUCAAGGAAACGACGCCGUUUGCUAAUUCAAAAUGCAUAUUUCUGAUUUGGUCCUUGGAUGUUUUUUGCAAUUUUGUAAUCAAGCCCCCGGAUAAAUUGUAAUUGGAUCCCUUGAUUUUAGCGCCUUUUCCAGUUUGGUCCUUGGUUUCAUAUUGUUUCAAUCAAGUCCUUAAUUGGCCAUCAAACUUCAAUAAUUAUGCAAUUAAGCCCCUGAUUUGACAAUAUUAACUCUUCAAAAUUAUAAUUGGACCCCAAAACUUUAAUUUCUUCCAAUAAAAGCCUAAAUUGACUUAAGAAAUCAAUUUUAUUGCGAUCAAACCCUCCAUAAAUUCAAUUAAACCUUGGAUAAAAUUUAAUUGAGUCCAUAAACAUCUGAUUUUGAAUUUUUCUUUCUCAAAUUGAAUUUUCCUUAUCAGCAGGGUUCUCACUGUCAAAUUUCUGCCUUUUGUAUUUUUGAAUCUUCUCAACCAAUUUUGGCCUUUUUUCAGCAUUCCAACAUCCUUUUCUCGCUCCUAUUAUUUUUUGGAUUUCUUCUUAAUAUUUUUUUGAUAUUUUUUGUAUUUUCUCAUUUUGUUUUGUGGGAACCCAAAAAUGGGUAACAACAUCCAUUUCCCUUGGCCAAGGAUUAGUAGAGCAUAUACUUGUGAUAUCUCAUGAAAUUAUGAUUGGAAAUUAUGUGAAAAGAAAGAAGAAGUGAUGCUUGAUGAAAAGAUUGGCAAAGUUGCCAAAGGUAAAAAAGAAAAAAAAAAGUGUUCCUUUAUGUUCUUAAGAUUUUACGUUGAAAAAGCUUGAAAUCAAAAGAAGUUAAGCAUUGGUGAUUAAAGAUGGAAAAUUUAUGUGCUUUGAUGGAAUAUCUUGUUUGAAAUAUCAUUCUUCAGAAUGCUCUACUUUCUUUGGUUUGAAUCUUUUCUUUUACUCUCUUUUACCUCACCUUAACCUUAACCCCAUUACAACCAGAAAAUAAGACAUUUUGAUUCAUGCAUUGUUUGUAAUAUGUUAUAAUGGAGAUGAGAUUGAAGAGCAAGCUAAUGGUAGAACAUAUUCAUCGAUUGAAUUUGAGAGAUUUAAACACAUAAGCCUUAAACACGUGAGUGUUGGAAUGCAUAUCAAUGAGAGGACCUAUCACUUUGGCAUGGCAUAGAUUUCAUUUAAAUCCCGACAAUUAAUUGAGUUUUGAAGUUUGCAUGUAAAUAAAUUCAUGAGAAUUUAUACUCUUUAUCCUUCUUGAUUGUAUUCUUGUUUAUAAUGCAUAUAUUCUUGGACAUUGAUGGGGGAUUAAGAGGUUGAUCAUAGUUAUUUUCAAUUUGAUUUUAUUCAUCCUUUAUUGAGGACGAGCAAGAGCUAAGUGUGGGGGUAUUUGAUGCAACUAUGUAAUUCGAUAGUUUCACCCACAUUUAACUAAUGUUUUGCCUAUGUUAUAUCUAUAAAAUGCCUUGAAAUUCUUUGUUUUAUGUUUUGAAGGCACUUUUGGAUGAAAGAUGCAAAAAGGAGUAAAUUGGAGGUAACUGGCAGAUUUGACGUUCAGUCGAUGUUUUGUGCAAAGCGUGAGUUCUAGAGGUCGAAAUGAAGUGAUUAUAGUGGCACUAAAAAGCUAACAUGCAUACCUUUCUAGACAUCUAAGGCAAGAAAAUAAAAUAAGGAAGAGCAUGGAAAUCCCAGCUUUCAAAGUCAAAUCUCGCAAUCUGCCAGUAUUGACCUUAGACCAUUCCGACUUGAAUAUCUGGAGCCACAGAAGUCCAAUUGAUGUAAACUCAAUUUUGUUGGAUUCCUAACUAAAAGUUCUAUAAACGCUCAAACUUUCAGCCAAAAAAGAUGUCAUAUGAGGGAGAUAUGAUUUUCCAAAGAUAACAGCUGAAUUCUGCCAGCAAACAGGUUUCGUGAAGGAACAUGUCCAAAUUACGUUUCGAAGCAUCUAAACCAGCGUCCAAGUUUUUAUUUCAGCAAUUUAGCUCCUCUAAGUCAAAGCUUGAAGAUUUAAUGCAAGGCUAUUUCUCCUUUUUAGAAAAAUAGUUAUUGAAGUACUUAAAUGUAAACUGUCAACUUAAGGGAGGACUAUUUUGUAAAAUAGAGACUAUAGUUUCUUAGCAUAUAAAAAGAAAGAGAGAAAGGAAAGAGGGCAAAAAAGAGGCAGCAACCAGAAGUGAAGAAACACAAACUCUCCUCUCUACAAACCAGAAAUAAUGUUUUCUUCUAUCUUUAAGAGUAGUUGUUCCAUAGAUAUGCAAGGCUAAGCUCGUUUUCUUGGUUGCAAGGACACAACAAACCUUCAGAUUUCAAGAACAGUGAGAAUUAUUCUUAUUUUUAUUUUUAGUUUAUAUUAUGAAUGAUUAUGAUUGUUUUCCUAUACAUAUUUUCUAUUAUUGUUGUUGAUAAUUGCUAGAGCGGACUCUAAGUUAUUAUUGUGAACAAUCUAUUGCUAAGUUUGAUAUCAAAACCGGAGUUGUGAUAUAUGAACUUGUGAAGCAACUAAGCUUGAUAAUUGUGGCGGAACUACGUUAUUAAACUCAGGGAGAACACUCAAACAAAGGAAACACAAGCUGCGGACAGCUUAGUUGUCAAGAGAUCAAUCAAUUUAUCUAGUUUUUAGGGCUGUCAUUGAACUAAAUCAUUAAUGCGGACAUUGUGAUUGUUUGUUGGUUAGGGUUAGUUAUACGGUGGAUCCAUUAAUUAACCAAUGUUAAAAAAAGAUAAAAAUUCAGAAUAUAAAUUGAAGUUUCGAAUCAAUGAUCAGUUCUAAUUUCUAUUGGUGGAUGUGUGCUUGCGACCAAGAUUUGUUUUCUUGAUAAAUUUCGGUUUCAAUUGAUUUUGUUUGCUAGUUUAAUUUCUUCCAUAGUUUAGAUCAUCACAAAUCAACCCCCCCAAUUGUAUAACGUAUAGCAUAAAAAUCUGAACUAAAUCUUCCAUGUGGGAUCGACCCCUUCCUUGCUCUAUACUAUCUUGUGUGUUGUGUUUUAAGCUAAGAUAAUUAAUUUGUGCGACCGCGACAUCGCAACAAAUUUUGGCGCCGUUGCUUUUAUGGUGAAAAUAAAUCCUCUCAAUAUCUCUAACAAACCUAACUACCUAUUCUUCAAUCUCUCUUAGUUGAGUAGCUAAGCGAGCUUGUUCUCUUAUAACAUAUUUAUGAGCUUCAUCCAAUUCUUGGUUGGAGUCUCUAGCAAUCUCGAGUUCUUCUUGUAAGCUUUUUAUUUUUUCAUCAGCUUGCAUUCUGAUUUUCUUCUUUUCUUCUAACUCAUCUUUAAGCUUCUGGUUUUCAAGCCUCAACUGCUUCAUAGUAAUAUCUUCAAUCUCAUCCGUGAUUCGCUGGCCAGCUCAUCUUUUCUUAUUUCCUGACAUGUUGUCCUUAUACAUUUUUGUGGAGCUUGGUGUGUCCAAAUUAAUGAUAAUUAAAGUUGAGCGGUUAUUUAUUCUAUUUUGGCACCAUUAUAUGUAUAGCUCCAAAACUUUAGGGCUUCUCUCAGAUACCAAUUGCCCAACCAAACCACAAGUCUUCCAAUCUUGCCUUAUACGCUCUAAUAUAGUCAAUGAUUUAACAUCUUUAUAACUUCCCCAAAAUUAAGCUAAACCUUUUAUCCUUGGAAUACAUUGCAUAUAUCCAAACAAUCUUGCCACCAUGGAGGAUGCAUAACUAAUAUACCCGGUGACCCCUAUCAGAAAGACCUAGGGAUGUUGACCACAGCAUGCAAGAUAACACUUAGUUCCCAUCCAAAUUGCCCUUCAGCUAAAAUGAGCAGUAGGUAAUUUAUGAAACAACUCAACCCAUUUCUCCUUAUUAUAGGAUUGCCAUUUUUUCUCCACAAACUCCUUUAAUGGUUGUUGAUUGAUCCACCAAGCUGACCGAAAAACUAUUUCACCAGUUGUCAUAUGACUAACUAGCCACAUGUAUAGCAAAUGAACACGACAUCUCAUAGAGCCUUUACCUGUUAUUCUGCAAUGAUUAAGAGAUAUAAUAGUUUCUGUUAUCACUACGGUUAUUGCAUUAACUCUGUUUCUUUCCAUUUCCACAAACACAUUUGUCAUUUCCAAACUGAUCAAACAGACAACAAAAGGAAAUAAUAUCAACCCAAAUAUGCCUAGAUCCAAUAUCUUGAUUCUAUCUAAAUUGUUACUUGGCUCUUUCAUUUUCUAGUUGAAAACAUCUUCCCAGGUUUUCCAAGGCCAUCCUUUAACACCUGCAUUUUCUCCAACUUUACUUGUCAUAUCUUUAACAUUCACAAGUAUUAUGAGCAGUCGUGCAAUCCCAUUAUGCCAAUUAUGGAAAUAAAUUGUAUAUAUAGAUUUAGGCAUCUGCAAUAGUUGUUGAUACUCCUCAAUGAUUAGCGAAAAUAUAUGAAAGCUUUUAUAGAUGUUUUUUAUAAAGGUAUACUCAAUACUGCAGCCAAAUUCACAUAUCUCUCAGUGAAAUUAUGUUGAUCUUGAUUACUUAACUUCUUCAAACACUGAAAGAACUUAUCAGUUCCAUUGACAAGACCAAUUAUGUUUUUCAAAUCAAGGAGCUAGGUAUCAAGUUUCUGAUGCAACCAAUCCCCCUCUAUUUGUUGCAAGGUUUCAGACUUUUAUUGGGAUUGUUGUGGGGUAUAUGUUAUCAUCUUGUCAUCCAUUUUCUCUUGAAAAGUUCAUGACUUUAGUCAAGAUUUCAUCUCUGCAAGGCCUACCCAUUGUGAUAUUACAAGGUGACAACCUAAGAAAAUGUUAUAGUCAUUAUGUGCAUGGGUAAGUUUACUAUCUAAUUGGUCUCAAAAGGGUCUCUCGUUACUCGGUUAACUAGCUUUAAUAGGCUGAACCAAGGCCUACAAUGCGGAAAAGAAUUGAUCAAGGUGAAGCCCUAUCAGUGUACUAAUAAAGUAGACUCUCCACAAGAGUCUAGUGGUUUCACAAGUGUUGUUUGGAUCAAUGACCAUCAAAACACCACUAAUCCCUCAAUCCUAGCCUUAAGCAAUAUGUGUGCAAAUAAAAGUGUUAUGUAGUAUAUGCACGGGUAUAAAUCCAUAUCCACUCAAAAAAAUAAAAGAAUAAAAAAUGCAUGCAUAAAAACAAAACAAAACAAAAUAUAAAGGGGAAAAAAGGAAUAUAAGAAUAAAAAAAACUAGCAAAAAACAAAGUUACAUUUAUCACAUAAUUAAACAUAUAAAGCUUAGCUCUAUGGUGAAAACCAAGAUCGUACCUAGUGGAAUUACUAUUUUAUCAUACUCGACAUCACGACAAAGUAAGAAAAAAUAGAUAAAAAGUCACCACCUAGUUUAUAGUAAUUAAAAACCUUAACUAAUCCUCAAAGAUCCCUAGAUAAGGGGCUGAUUAUAUUAAAGUGAAAACUCAUCACUCUAAAAUAUCCUACAUAAAAUAAAUUGCUUCUAUGUUCUGAAUUUGUAAUGAAUUACCUAUCAGGUUUUCUCUAAAAAAAUUGCCUAAACUAAACAUAAGUUAAAAAAAAAAAAUGAUUCGGGGUCAUGCCUAGUCUUGAAGCCUAUUUCUCACUUCUAAAAUGUGAGCAUUGAGCCUGAAAGAAUGGUGAAUAUUUAAUUGAGUUUUUAAAUCAAUUUCGUUCAUUAUAUUUCAUAUUAGACUCGUAGGCCAUUAUUACUCACUCUCAAUAAAUUUUUUAGAGUUAUGUUGACACAGCCUAAAUUAACUCCCAAAUGAAAGUGUAAAAAAAAUUAAAUCCUAUCAUGCAUUCUCAUCAUAAUAAAAUACAUUAAAAAUAAAUAAUAAAAAGGUAAUAUGAUAUAAAUUAAAGAUCAUGAUGCAUCCUUUUAUUUUUUUUUAUUUUUUUUAAAAAAAUAUCAUACCAAUAAGGUAACAUAUUCCUAUUUAAUUUGAAAAGGUAAGUAGGGAUGAUAUUGUCAAAGCAAUCAUUAACUCACAUAUUUACAUUCACCUUUUUAUUUAUUUUUUUAAAAUAUUUUUAUAUAUAAAUAGAUAUGGGAAGAGACGCGCGUACACAAAUCAAUGACUCAUAAAAUAUUUUGUGUUGAAUUAAAACAGACGACCACGAUACAAACGCACAGAUGGACAUGUUUAAGAGUGUGAUUGCGGUUACUUUUCAAAGUAUUUUUUAUACCAAAAUACAUCAAAAUAAUUUUUUUAUUUUUUAAAAAUCAUUUUUAAGAUUAGCGCAUCAAAACGAUCCAAAACAUAUCAAAAAAUUAUUUUUUAGCAAAACAAAAAUUAUUUUUUUUGGAAACGCGGGUACAACCGCGUUUCCAAACGCUCUCUCCUGUUUGGGAUUGCAGUUGCGGUUGCGGUACAAAAUACUUUUCGCUUAGAAAUACAUUAAAAUAAUAUUUUUUUAAUUUUUUUUAAAUUAAUUUUAAAAUCAGCAAAUCAAAACGAUAUGAAAAUAUAAAAAAAAUAAUUUUUAAUAAAAAAUAUAUAUAUUUUUUUUGCAUUUUUUAAAGUACUCGUUUCCAAAGUGUCCCUAAAAUAUCCUUCAUUUUAUUACGAGAACUUUCCUACCAUCUUUUUCAAAAAAGAAAAAAAAACACAAACAUAAUCCUAAAAAAUCGGCAGCUAUGUUUGUCAAGACAGUGUUCAUAUGGACAAUUAAUCAAAGCACCCUAUCAUACGGCAUUGCAUUUAGAUAACAGUGUAUCAAUUAAUAAACCCAAUCACAUUAAAUACAGAUUAUUCAAAACAAAGGGGUAAAUCACAAAAUUACAUAGGGUUGGGGUUAACCUCUAGAGAAUUGCUGGACUGAAAGCUACCGGAGCUGGGUGAAACCAAAAUGGGCAGUGGUGACAAUUAGAGUGCAUACACGGACUGGCUGAACACUGAUGGAGCGUGCUCCUUACACACUGCUAUGACCUGCAAGAAAAAUGAGAAAAAAAUGUUGGGUUUUUGGAUGGUAAUGGAGGCUGUGGUGUUUGGGGUUGUUCUUAGGGAUGGACUUGAGGUUACGAUUUUGGCAGAUCGGGCUACCGCCUCAGCAAGGUUUUGGGUAAUUAAUUGGCUCGGUUGUGGUGAUUGUGCCUUGUGGAGGCUGGGUUCGGGUUUGUUCAUUUGGAGGUCUGUUUAUGGGUGGGUUUCGGUAUCGUCAGUGGUGGGUCUUGAUAGUGUCCGUGGUGAGAGGCUACAGAAUUUUCAGUGAAAUGAGGAGGUUUUGGGGCUGAUUUACAGUCCGUUUCUGGUGAUAAUGGAGGCUCUUGUGGGAGAAAAGGCUGGAAAUUUGUGUGUUGCAGGUGGGUCUCGGUGGUGAGCUGUUGGUUGUGGGAGGUUGUCACGGUUAUGGGGCUACGCUGGAAUGAUGGAGGUUGGCUGUUGAAUGUCUUGGUUUGUAAGGGGUUAAUUCGGGUGCAAGAGGCUGAAGGAUGGCUGGCUAGAGAAGAUGGAUGAACAGUGUUUCGGAUUAAGGAUUUUUCUUUUUGCGUGUUUUUUUAUCUGCCUCCCUAGGGUACCCUGCUGCAGCGCAAUAGGACUUGUAUUUAUAAUAUAAUACAAGAGUACUAUGAUGCUUAGAAUUUUAAUUUCUGCAUAAAACAAAAUUUAUCCAUUGAAAUCCAAACUUUAAAAAAAAAAAUGCAUUAAUAUGAGAGAUAAUCUUAUCAAGACAAAUACAAUAUGGUCUCUAAUAUUAACAAAUCAC